CUGCAUCCACGUCACUAAGGAAGAGUCGGCGGCAGCUCCGCCGGGCUCGAGUGAUUCGAUUGCACGUGUGUCCGCGCCGUGUUUUUUAGCCCACCACAGAUGCGCGGGACGAUUCAGGAUUCUUUUUUUUUUAAAGUGCACCUUGUUGGCACAGCCUUCACCGGAGGCUUAGAUUCAUGAUUCUUUCUUUCGACUUGGCACUAUUUAGAUCCACACGAUUUUGCAUCUUUUUUCGGCCUUGAUUGAUUGAUUGAUGCGCUGAUCCAACUUUGGUUUAACUUCCUUCGUGCAGCACCCCUAUCCAGUAAGAGCAACUCAACCUUUUAGACAGUGGUGACUGUGAGGCCCGUUCCUCCUCCUCCGGCUCCCUCCCAGGCCUCCCUGAACCUCUCCUGGGUGGAUGCGACAUUGCCUUGGGUUCCUCGUCGAGCAUAUACCAUUAUUGCGGCGCCGUUGGGCGUCAUGCACUUUUGCCGCCUGCCACUGGUAUGCCGAUCUCAAGCUCACCAAACGGGUCCUAGAGGACCCUAGGAGGCUAUCAUCUCCCUCCUCUUGAAUGGGCAACAACCUCCUCUUGAAUGGGCAACAACCAAUCGUGUGCAGUCAGGUGACUAGGAGAUGCACGUUAGCUGCUCUAUGAAUUACCCAAGGGAAAAAACUGUGAUUUUCUCGGUUGAUGACGCACACGCUUGCUUGUGCCUUCUGUUCCUACGGAUGGUGCUCUAGCAAAACAUCAGGAUUGACACUUUGGCUGCAUUGUUGACCCCACUGAUGGGGUGCUGCUGUUGUUACAUGAGAUUACAAUGGAAGGGCAAUAACUGGCGGCAUCAUCUUCUGACCUAAGAUUCUAGCUUUAAUUGAAGGAAGGUGUCGGGGCAGAGGUUGAUCUAUGUAUUUAGCAAUUUAGCAUUGGUGAUCAUGCACUUGAAUAUUUGAAGGAACAUUCGGUCUUAGCAUUGGAGAACACCUCUAGGUGAGGCUUUCUGAUGGUUUGUCUUGCAGUUACUCUUAGAGACGGAGAAAUCGAUGCUUUCUGUUGUGGUUUCCUAUAGAUAUGUUGUCUAGGAGGUGUCCUGCACGGAUUCUUGGAAGGGAAAGGCAAAAUAUUGAUUUGAAUUAAAAGUGAACAUAGGAGGAUAGUUUUGUUCAAAUAAAGCCCCAAAAAUAUCAAAUAUCAAAUGUCGCUGCUCGGAUCCACACCACCUGAGGCCAGCAAUCUCAUCGCCAUAUCGGAUAAGGCAUUCAACCGGCAGCAGCUUCUUCCCAUGGAGAAGACUAUUCUGAACAACAUGGAGUGGAACCUCACUGUACCCACUCCGUACCACUUCCUGCUGCCGUUCGCAAAGGCUGCCGGACGCACUGACAAGGAGUUUUGCAGUUUAUGCUGCCCGCUGCAUAUUGAAGAAGAGUCCUCUCCAGACGGGCACCCUGAAGCACCACACUAGCCUCCAGGAGCAGCAGCUUAUGGAAUGCACAAAGAUACUGGUCAGCUCCCAUGCAGCUGCUCCUGGAGGGAAGCUGAAGGCCAUCUACCAAAAGUACACCACGGUGCAGUUUGGGUGUGUAGCUCUGCACCCACCAGCUGCUGUUCUAGGCCUUGCCUAGGCUUUUUACUGGGUUGGUUUUUAUGAAUUAGACAGACAAUGGACGGCCAUCUAACAAUAUAGGAUUCGUUUCAGUUGGCUUUUAAUCUAGGUAAGCUUGAUAGCCUUUCUUUGUUCAUUCAGAUACUCUGUUCUCAAAAGUACUAUAAGGUUUUAUACCUCUACCAUAGUAACAACUAUUUAUAUUCAUAUGAAUUGGAUUGAUA